rfam:Heterocephalus glaber contig162759, whole genome shotgun sequence.
GGAUGUGAGGGCACUCUAACUGCAACAUCUAUUACCCCAUUGAUUGCCAGUGCUGAUUGGCUGACCUGGCUGGCUAGGCAGUGUCUCCUUCCUUCCUCACUGCUCCAUUGUGCCUCCCUCCUGAAGCUGUGGGUUGGGUUGAAGAGGACGACCACCCCCCGACAGAGCAAGACCAUUUCCUUGGCCAAGGGUAUACAGGUAGCUGUGCAUUCUUGCUUAGAACCACCAAGCAAGGUCUCAAGAAUACUGUUUUUAUUUUGAUUGGUAUUGUAUUUUAUCUAUAUAUCACUUUUGAAAGUAUAUCCAUUUUAACAAUAUUGGUUUUGCCUAU